AAAAGGGGGAUUAGGGAUUUACUUUCGUGACGAUUGAACUUCUUCGGCGAAACUCUCCCUCUCCCUCGCGAAAUCACAGACGUGAAACGGCGGCGGCAAUGCUCUCUUCUCCGGUCAAAUUCUGAUCGCCACCGUGAACGGCGCUACGAAUCAAUAGCAUCAACUCUCAUCAUCAGUUCCCUCGCCUUGCUCACUUUCAUCUUCUUCGUGGAUUCGCGACGGCGGCAGAGUCUCAUCCCUCUCCGGCAACGCUUCCGUGAACCAACCAACACAACUGCCUCUCUUCCGCCUCUCCGACUUCGUCUCUUAUCUCAUCUCUCCGAUUCGAGUUUCGUUCUUCGAUCGGAGUCUCUCUCAGAUUCGUUUCGUUUUCACAUCGAUCGAAUCUACGGAGAUGAUGAAGAUGUGCGAUGAAGAAUCAUGAAGUUACAGUGAUGAAGAUGAAGAACGGUGUGAGGCACUCUUGAAGCUCGUUGAAGAAUUUGAAGAUUGGAGGGGUGAGUCUAAAGAUGAAUCGAUGAAGAAUUGUGUGGUACUACUCAGAAGGUGAUGAUUUUGCAGUGAAUUGAAGAAUGAAAGAGUUGGAGGUGAUGAAGGGAGAUGAUUCUGAAUGUGAAGUGAGGAUGGUGAUGAAUGAAUGGAGAAUGAGUCGAGAGAUCAAUAAUGGUGAAGAUGGAGAGAUGUUGAAUGAUGAUGAAUGAAGAAUGAGAGAAUGGAGAAAAUGAUGAAGAUUGGAGGAGAAUGGUGGAUGAAGUGUGAAGAUUGAUUUGUGGAGUGAAAAAUGGAGAGGUCUUUGAAGAUGAAAGGAAGCAGGAUAUAUAUAGGGCUGUUUGAGAUAUGUUAUGUAAGGUACAGGGACUGUUUUAAACUGGUUUAUCUCUUUUGUACCGGUUUAAGAUGCAGGAUGUUGAAUGGAAUGAAUGCUGAAUGACUGUCUCUUGCGGUGCAGGCUUGUUUUAAGGGCUGAUUCUUAACUGUUGUGUAUGAUGGAUUGUUUGAAUGCUGCAGGGAGGAGUAGCUUAUUUCUGACCUGUCGAAACCGAACUGAUCGUGCGGACUUGAGCAGCUUUAUACACUCAUUUGAUGCACAGAAGGUUGGUUCAUGGCAGUGAACAUGGGGAAUGAUACAAGACUUGGGGCAUUGUUGCAAAUCUGUUUUUUGACAGCAUGGUGAAGAUGGAUUAUGGCAUGAAGGCUAUUUUGAUGAGGCUCUUAGGAUUUUAGGAAACUGAUGACUUUGUAUAGAUAUUUUUGUAUGAUUUUUAUAUGGCUUUGUUUAGGAAACAUAAUGAAGUGUAUGUGAAUUUUUCAGUUCUGUUUUGGAACAUUGGUUGGAUGGUGAAUUGAACGGUAAUCUCCAUGGUGUUUGGUGGUAUUGAUGAUGUAAUAGGAUGAUAACAUGUAACUGGAUUUGGCCAUGGAGUGUAGGGCUUUUUGGGAGUAGAAUGAAAUAACACUUCGUUUCCCUCCA